rnacentral:lncRNA from 1 species
GCGUGCUCCUUGUCGGGCAGAGGCUCAAGCCGGGCGUUCCUAUUGGCUAGCUGGGAGGAGGUGGAGAGCCCUGAACCCGCCAGCUUGUGCCUGUGAGAUAAGCAGCGCCCGCCGGGAAAUGUAGUCCUCUGGCUGAGGAGCGCUGUCACUCUGAGGCGUGAGGUAUCUUGACUGCCGGGUCCUCCUGCAAGGAGAAUGAGAUGGAACUUGAGGGAGAACGGCCAAGAGUCUGAACUCCAGGAGAUCGAGAUGUAGGACUCUCAGCUCCUUCUCCAGCAUCAUGUCUGCCUGCACACCUCUAAACCUCUGAAACUAUGGUGAAACGCAGCUCGGGAGGAUGAAGCCAGCUGCCCUGGAUUUCAUAGCUCUAAGUGAUGGAGACACAUGUCAAAAGCACAGGAUCUGCUUCCUGUAGCAGGAGCCGGGAAGAUUAUGCCAUAGAUACUGUAGAAGCAAGACAUUUCAUCACAUCCAGGUGAAAACACCAAAUUCACCCCAUCUAACAAAAGCCUGGAGUGGGGGUGGGGGCAUAACGAGAGUGGUAAUAGUGAGGUCAAUGAGGACUGGACCUUGCUUCAGAAAACCUUCCUGCUUCCUGUCUCAUUUGGGAGAUGAUAACCAUAGCUACAUUUACUGAGUAGUGUGACCAAUUGUCACACAAAACACUCAUCGAUGGAUCCCAUACCUUCUUUAGUCCUUACAACCCUUUAAGAAAGCCCUGGUACCCUUUUGAAGCUAAGGAAAGGGUUUGGAAGAUUUGGACGCCACUGAAACCACUCAAAUACCCGCUGCCUAAGAAACCAAAUAGUUGAGGUUUGCACAUCUGGAAGGCCUAGCAUUCCUCCUCGUGAGGACCUCAUUCAAGCCUUAGGGCGGCUUCAGCUGAUGUCUGGUCCAGUGGGGGCUGCCUCCGGAGCAGAGGUUCCAUCCUGAAGCUCAGUGCAUCUUGGGGAGGCGACAUUUACAACAGUAUAUCCAAAUACUGCCAAAUGCCUGGGAGCAACUGAAGAAAUCAGAACUGAAUCUCCUGAUGCAAAUACCAAUGGAGGGAGAAGACCAGAGUGACACCAGGAAGGGGACCCAGGGCGAGUUGUGGGAUGCUAAUAUAAUGUUUCUUCAUUUUGGUGCAACCUAAUUUCAUGUAUUCACUUUGUUAGAUGUUCACUGAGUCAAACCUUAUGUUUUCCAUAGAUCCCCCUUUAUAUGUGAACUUUCAACUUUUUAUUUCCCUUACUGUGAGAUAACCAAACACCUUCCAAACAAAGCAUGUCAUGUUUCACUUUCAAGGACUACGGAUAUUAUCAAAUGUGUAAAAAAAAAAACAAAAC